rfam:Rattus norvegicus chromosome 3, whole genome shotgun sequence.
GGGGAUGUAGCUCAGCGGUAGAGCGCUUGCCUAGCAAGCGCAAGGCCCUGGGUUCGGUCCCCAGCUCCG